GCUUACACAUGCAAGUCGAACGGUGAAGCAGAGCUUGCUCUGUGGAUCAGUGGCGAACGGGUGAGUAACACGUGAGCAAUCUGCCCCUGACUCUGGGAUAAGCGCUGGAAACGGCGUCUAAUACCGGAUACGAGCUGCGACCGCAUGGUCAGUAGCUGGAAAGAAUUUCGGUCAGGGAUGAGCUCGCGGCCUAUCAGCUUGUUGGUGAGGUAAUGGCUCACCAAGGCGUCGACGGGUAGCCGGCCUGAGAGGGUGACCGGCCACACUGGGACUGAGACACGGCCCAGACUCCUACGGGAGGCAGCAGUGGGGAAUAUUGCACAAUGGGCGCAAGCCUGAUGCAGCAACGCCGCGUGAGGGAUGACGGCCUUCGGGUUGUAAACCUCUUUUAGCAGGGAAGAAGCGAAAGUGACGGUACCUGCAGAAAAAGCGCCGGCUAACUACGUGCCAGCAGCCGCGGUAAUACGUAGGGCGCAAGCGUUAUCCGGAAUUAUUGGGCGUAAAGAGCUCGUAGGCGGUCUGUCGCGUCUGCUGUGAAAACCCGAGGCUCAACCUCGGGCCUGCAGUGGGUACGGGCAGACUAGAGUGCGGUAGGGGAGAUUGGAAUUCCUGGUGUAGCGGUGGAAUGCGCAGAUAUCAGGAGGAACACCGAUGGCGAAGGCAGAUCUCUGGGCCGUAACUGACGCUGAGGAGCGAAAGGGUGGGGAGCAAACAGGCUUAGAUACCCUGGUAGUCCACCCCGUAAACGUUGGGAACUAGUUGUGGGGUCCAUUCCACGGAUUCCGUGACGCAGCUAACGCAUUAAGUUCCCCGCCUGGGGAGUACGGCCGCAAGGCUAAAACUCAAAGGAAUUGACGGGGACCCGCACAAGCGGCGGAGCAUGCGGAUUAAUUCGAUGCAACGCGAAGAACCUUACCAAGGCUUGACAUAUAGAGGAAACGUCUGGAAACAGUCGCCCCGCAAGGUCUCUAUACAGGUGGUGCAUGGUUGUCGUCAGCUCGUGUCGUGAGAUGUUGGGUUAAGUCCCGCAACGAGCGCAACCCUCGUUCUAUGUUGCCAGCACGUAAUGGUGGGAACUCAUGGGAUACUGCCGGGGUCAACUCGGAGGAAGGUGGGGAUGACGUCAAAUCAUCAUGCCCCUUAUGUCUUGGGCUUCACGCAUGCUACAAUGGCCGGUACAAAGGGCUGCAAUACCGUGAGGUGGAGCGAAUCCCAAAAAGCCGGUCCCAGUUCGGAUUGAGGUCUGCAACUCGACCUCAUGAAGUCGGAGUCGCUAGUAAUCGCAGAUCAGCAACGCUGCGGUGAAUACGUUCCCGGGUCUUGUACACACCGCCCGUCAAGUCAUGAAAGUCGGUAACACCUGAAGCCGGUGGCCCAACCCUUGUGGAGGGAGCCGUCGAAGGUGGGAUCGGUAAUUAGGACUAAGUCGUAACAAGGUUAACCGUA
rnacentral:rRNA from 1 species